CCCUACGGGGCGCGGCAGUGGGAAAUAUUGCACAAUGGACGAAAGCCUGAUGCAGCAACGCCGCGUGAGCGAUGAAGGCCUUCGGGUCGUAAAGCUCUGUCCUCAAGGAAGAUAAUGACGGUACUUGAGGAGGAAGCCCCGGCUAACUACGUGCCCGUAGCCGCGGUAAUACGUAGGGGGCUAGCGUUAUCCGGAAUUACUGGGCGUAAAGGGUGCGUAGGUGGUUUCUUAAGUCAGAGGUGAAAGGCUACUGCUCAACCGUAGUAAGCCUUUGAAACUGGGAAACUUGAGUGCAGUAGAGGAGG
rnacentral:rRNA from 1 species